rnacentral:rRNA from 1 species
CCUACGGGAGGCUGCAGUGGGGAAUAUUGGACAAUGGGGGGAACCCUGAUCCAGCCAUGCCGCGUGUGUGAAGAAGGCCCUCGGGUUGUAAAGCACUUUCAGUGAGGAAGAACGCCUGGUGGUUAAUACCCAUCAGGAAAGACAUCACUCACAGAAGAAGCACCGGCUAACUCCGUGCCAGCAGCCGCUGUAAUACGGAGGGUGCGAGCGUUAAUCGGAAUUACUGGGCGUAAAGCGCGCGUAGGUGGCUUGAUAAGCCGGUUGUGAAAGCCCCGGGCUCAACCUGGGAACGGCAUCCGGAACUGUCAAGCUAGAGUGCAGGAGAGGAAGGUAGAAUUCCCGGUGUAGCGGUGAAAUGCGUAGAGAUCGGGAGGAAUACCAGUGGCGAAGGCGGCCUUCUGGACUGACACUGACACUGAGGUGCGAAAGCGUGGGUAGCAAACAGGAUUAGAUACCCCAGUAGUC